ensembl:lncRNA
AUGUUGCAUUUGUUCCUACUGACUUACUUUAGAGUAAGAGUUUUCACAAUAACUAUCUUUGAAAUUGUAAUCAAGUUCCAUUUUCAUAAUUUGCAGGGAAUGAGUCAAGGCAGAGGUCCUUCAAGCAGAGUUGUAAGCCAGAGAGCAGGGGCUCAAAUAGAAGGUAGACCUUUAGGUGGUGGGAUGGAUCUAAGACAUGGUUCUGGAAGAGCAUAUAGGACCAGCCAGGGAAAAAGGAAACUAAAAGCAGUGAUGCAUUUAAGUCGCGUAGCAGUCAGUGCUCACAAAGCAGUAGGAAGAACUGAGUCUGCUCGUUCUCCAUGGAAGAAAGCAAAGAUAUUCCCGAUGAUUCUGCAGAAAGUCAAAGGUGGUAGGAAAGAUUCCAGUUAUGCCAAGUUGAUGUCAGCUCGCCAAGUGGAUGGUGAGAAAAGCAUGAUUAUCAGGGGAAGUUACUUCCAGAAAUCAACAGAUGACAGACCUUCGAUGAGAAAACUAAAUCAUGUGUUAAAACGCAUUAGCGUCUCCAGAAAAUUUCAAGAGCCCAUUGGCGAAGAUUCGGUGCAUGCAAGAGAAAAAGGAAAGGAAGAAUAUGAAAGAGAUGAAGCAAAAUCAGGAGUUUCAAUAAGUAUCACAGCAGAGAGUGAACAUGAGGAUAGUGAUUAUGAGAAGAAGAAGAAGAAGAGAAGAAAAUACACUUCAGAUGAAUCAUCUGUGAAGAGUAGUAGCUCUGGGUCAGAGUCAGAAGACAAAGACUACUUGAAAGUAACUCUGGACCAAGAUGAAGCCACCGAAAGUACUGUGGACUCAGAUGAAGAUACUGGGCAUGAUUUUGGGGAUUCUGAUGACGACUCUGGAUCCAGCUCUAGCAGUGAAUCGGAGGAGGAGUCAUCUGAAGAGGACGAUGAUGAGGAAGACUCUGACAGUGAUGAAGAUGGUAGCCUGUCAAAGAGCUCAUCUACACGAAGUUCAUACAGCAAAUCAGGGACUAGUGAGUCCAGCAGUAUAAGAAGCACUGAAAGAUCCAGUAUAAAAAGUAGAGGAGGUAGCUCUCGUGGCAGAGCAAGGCGAUCCAGCCAGAAAUCAAAUAUUAGCUCUAAUGCAUCAGGUAGUGACAGGGACACGAGCUACAGAAAAACUUCAGGAUCCAGCUAUAAGAGCAAAACCUCCUCCGCCAGCCUUGAAAUAGAAGACACAAUAGAAGAGGUGUCAGAAGAAGAUGAACAAGCGGAUGUGGAGCAAGUCAGCACAAGCCCCAAGGAGAUGUCAGAUAACUCAAAUAAGGCAGUUUCUGAAACAUCUGCCACUGCAGAAACUACUGCUACUGAAGAAGGCAAGAGAGGAGAAUCAGCUAUUAAUGGUGAGGAUAGCGUGGAUGAAAGCACAGAAGAGGUUGAUACAGAUGUUAGUGACAGGGAGGAAACUAUCAGUAAGAAUGAAUCUUCUUGCCUAGAAAGUGAAAUCAGUGUCACUUCCAAAGGUACUGAAGGGACAAAAAGCACAGCUAGCCCCACUUCUGGUAAAACUGCUACUUCCCCAGAUACUGAGAAUCAAAGUUCUGACACCAACAUGAAAAGAAAGAAAAUAAGAAAAAAGAUGUCCCAGGAAAAGAGUCAGUCUCAGUCAGAUGAGACCCUGGAUACUGCCAUUACAGAGUCAGAGACUGCUGGUGAUUCUACAUCCUUUUAA